rnacentral:rRNA from 1 species
UACGUAGGGUGCAAGCGUUGUCCGGAAUUAUUGGGCGUAAAGAGCUCGUAGGCGGUUUGUUGCGUCGGCUGUGAAAUCCCGAGGCUCAACCUCGGGUCUGCAGUCGAUACGAGCAGACUAGAGUGUUGCAGGGGAGACUGGAAUUCCUGGUGUAGCGGUGAAAUGCGCAGAUAUCAGGAGGAACACCGGUGGCGAAGGCGGGUCUCUGGGCCGUAACUGACGCUGAGGAGCGAAAGCGUGGGGAGCGAACAGG